CAUCAAGAGACAGGUAGACAAUGUACCUGCAGAUCUACAAACUAUACGCAGAUCUGUAGAGCUGUGUGCGGUUAUAGAUCUACAAAUGAUCCGUAGACCUGUGUGUGAGGUUAUAGAUCUAUAAAUGAUCUGUAGAGCUGUGUGUGAGGUUAUAGAUCUAUACAUAUUCUGUAGACCUGUGUGAGGUUAUAGAUCUAUAAAUGAUCUGUAGAGCUGUGUGUGAGGUUAUAGAUCUAUAAAUGAUCUGUAGAGCUGUGUGUGAGGUUAUAGAUCUAUAAAUGAUCUGUAGAGCUGUGUGUGAGGUUAUAGAUCUAUAAAUGAUCUGUAGACCUGUGUGUGAGGUUAUAGAUCUAUAAAUGAUCUGUAGACCUGUGUGUGAGGUUAUAGAUCUAUAAAUGAU